CGAAAGAAAGAUUAAUACCUGAUGGUAUGAUGAGAUUGCAUGAUAGCAUCAUUAAAGAUUUAUCGGUGUACGAUGGGGAUGCGUUCCAUUAGGUAGUAGGCGGGGUAACGGCCCACCUAGCCAACGAUGGAUAGGGGUUCUGAGAGGAAGGUCCCCCACAUCGGAACUGAGACACGGUCCAAACUCCUACGGGAGGCAGCAGUGAGGAAUAUUGGUCAAUGGACGAGAGUCUGAACCAGCCAAGUAGCGUGAAGGAUGAAGGUCCUACGGAUUGUAAACUUCUUUUAUAAGGGAAUAAACCCUCCCACGUGUGGGAGCUUGUAUGUACCUUAUGAAUAAGCAUCGGCUAACUCCGUGCCAGCAGCCGCGGUAAUACGGAGGAUGCGAGCGUUAUCCGGAUUUAUUGGGUUUAAAGGGAGCGUAGGUGGACUGGUAAGUCAGUUGUGAAAGUUUGCGGCUCAACCGUAAAAUUGCAGUUGAUACUGUCAGUCUUGAGUACAGUAGAGGUGGGCGGAAUUCGUGGUGUAGCGGUGAAAUGCUUAGAUAUCACGAAGAACUCCGAUUGCGGAGGCAGCUCACUGGACUGCAACUGACACUGAUGCUCGAAAGUGUGGGUAUCAAACA
rnacentral:rRNA from 1 species